GAUGAAGAACGUAGCGAAAUGCGAUAAGUAAUGUGAAUUGCAGAAUUCAGUGAAUCAUCGAAUCUUUGAACGCACAUUGCGCCCCCUGGUAUUCCGGGGGGCAUGCCUGUUCGGGCGUCAUUUCACCACUCAAGCCUCGCUUGGUAUUGGGCAACGCGGUCCGCCGCGUGCCUCAAAUCGACCGGCUGGGUCUUCUGUCCCCUAAGCGUUGUGGAAACUUUCGCUAAAGGGUGUUCGGGAGGCUACGCCGUAAAACAACCCCAUUUCUAAGGUUGACCUCGGAUCAGGUAGGGAUACCCGCUGAACUUAAGCAUAUCAAUAAGCGGAGGA
rnacentral:misc_RNA from 1 species